UUUUCAUCAGACAAUCUGUGUGAGCACUGCAAAGUACGCUUCUUUAAGGUAAGGAGGUGAUCCAACCGCAGGUUCCCCUACGGUUACCUUGUUACGACUUCACCCCAGUCAUGAAUCACAAAGUGGUAAGCGCCCUCCCGAAGGUUAAGCUACCUACUUCUUUUGCAACCCACUCCCAUGGUGUGACGGGCGGUGUGUACAAGGCCCGGGAACGUAUUCACCGUGGCAUUCUGAUCCACGAUUACUAGCGAUUCCGACUUCAUGGAGUCGAGUUGCAGACUCCAAUCCGGACUACGACGCACUUUAUGAGGUCCGCUUGCUCUCGCGAGGUCGCUUCUCUUUGUAUGCGCCAUUGUAGCACGUGUGUAGCCCUGGUCGUAAGGGCCAUGAUGACUUGACGUCAUCCCCACCUUCCUCCAGUUUAUCACUGGCAGUCUCCUUUGAGUUCCCGGCCGGACCGCUGGCAACAAAGGAUAAGGGUUGCGCUCGUUGCGGGACUUAACCCAACAUUUCACAACACGAGCUGACGACAGCCAUGCAGCACCUGUCUCACGGUUCCCGAAGGCACAUUCUCAUCUCUGAAAACUUCCGUGGAUGUCAAGACCAGGUAAGGUUCUUCGCGUUGCAUCGAAUUAAACCACAUGCUCCACCGCUUGUGCGGGCCCCCGUCAAUUCAUUUGAGUUUUAACCUUGCGGCCGUACUCCCCAGGCGGUCUACUUAACGCGUUAGCUCCGGAAGCCACGCCUCAAGGGCACAACCUCCAAGUAGACAUCGUUUACGGCGUGGACUACCAGGGUAUCUAAUCCUGUUUGCUCCCCACGCUUUCGCACCUGAGCGUCAGUCUUUGUCCAGGGGGCCGCCUUCGCCACCGGUAUUCCUCCAGAUCUCUACGCAUUUCNNNNNNNNNNNNNNNNNNNNCCCCCCUCUACAAGACUCAAGCCUGCCAGUUUCGAAUGCAGUUCCCAGGUUGAGCCCGGGGAUUUCACAUCCGACUUGACAGACCGCCUGCGUGCGCUUUACGCCCAGUAAUUCCGAUUAACGCUUGCACCCUCCGUAUUACCGCGGCUGCUGGCACGGAGUUAGCCGGUGCUUCUUCUGCGGGUAACGUCAAUUGCUGCGGUUAUUAACCACAACACCUUCCUCCCCGCUGAAAGUACUUUACAACCCGAAGGCCUUCUUCAUACACGCGGCAUGGCUGCAUCAGGCUUGCGCCCAUUGUGCAAUAUUCCCCACUGCUGCCUCCCGUAGGAGUCUGGACCGUGUCUCAGUUCCAGUGUGGCUGGUCAUCCUCUCAGACCAGCUAGGGAUCGUCGCCUUGGUGAGCCGUUACCUCACCAACAAGCUAAUCCCAUCUGGGCACAUCUGAUGGCAAGAGGCCCGAAGGUCCCCCUCUUUGGUCUUGCGACGUUAUGCGGUAUUAGCCACCGUUUCCAGUAGUUAUCCCCCUCCAUCAGGCAGUUUCCCAGACAUUACUCACCCGUCCGCCACUCGUCAGCAAAGCAGCAAGCUGCUUCCUGUUACCGUUCGACUUGCAUGUGUUAGGCCUGCCGCCAGCGUUCAAUCUGAGCCAUGAUCAAACUCUUCAAUUUAAAAGUUUGAUGCUCAAUGAAUUAAACUUCGUAAUGAAUUACGUGUUCACUCUUGAGAC
rnacentral:rRNA from 1 species